AUUGAACGCUGGCGGAAUGCUUUACACAUGCAAGUCGAACGGCAGCACGGGGGCAGCCCUGGUGGCGAGUGGCGAACGGGUGAGUAAUACAUCGGAACGUGCCCGGUCGUGGGGGAUAACGUAGCGAAAGUUACGCUAAUACCGCAUACGAUCUGAGGAUGAAAGCGGGGGACCUUCGGGCCUCGCGCGAUCGGAGCGGCCGAUGUCAGAUUAGGUAGUUGGUGGGGUAAAGGCCUACCAAGCCGACGAUCUGUAGCUGGUCUGAGAGGACGACCAGCCACACUGGGACUGAGACACGGCCCAGACUCCCUCGGGAGGCAGCAGUGGGGAAUUUUGGACAAUGGGCGCAAGCCUGAUCCAGCCAUUCCGCGUGCAGGACGAAGGCCUUCGGGUUGUAAACUGCUUUUGUACGGAACGAAAAGGCUCUGGCUAAUACCUGGGGCUCAUGACGGUACCGUAAGAAUAAGCACCGGCUAACUACGUG
rnacentral:rRNA from 1 species